CAGCCGCCACGGUAAUACGUAUGUCACGAGCGUUAUCCGGGUUUAUUGGGCGUAAAGCGCGUCUAGGUGGUUAUAUAAGUCUGAUGUGAAAAUGCAGGGCUCAACUCUGUAUUGCGUUGGAAACUGUAUAACUAGAGUACUGGAGAGGUAAGCGGAACUACAAGUGUAGAGGUGAAAUUCGUAGAUGUUUGUAGGAAUGCCGAUGGGGAAGCCAGCUUACUGGACAGAUACUGACGCUGAAGCGCGAAAGCGUGGGUAGCAAACAGGAUUAGAGACCCCCGUAGUCCCUGUCUCUUAUACA
rnacentral:rRNA from 1 species